rnacentral:rRNA from 1 species
CCUAAACUUGAUCUGAAAUCAGGCGGGAU